CCAGAUUUAUUUUUAGUUGCGGGUUGCUUUAGUGAUUUCAUGUGUUCCCUGAUAUUGUCGGUUUGUCUCAAGGGUGAUAAUGUUUCAAGUUAUGUUUGUAUACUGGUUUGUUUGAUAAUUACAGCUUCAGAGAGGUUUAGUUUUGAUUGUGUUUUGUUCAUCAAUACCAUCCACAAAACAUUGGUGAAGAUAGGUAUCUUAGACCAACAAAAGGUCUGAAAGUAUGUUAAUA
rnacentral:lncRNA from 1 species